GGGAGCGGCCGGCCCGCGGCCAGGGGCUGGGGCCGGGGCCGGUGGGGCCGAGAGGGGACAGCAGAUCCCGGCGGGCCUCCUGCACCCGCGGAGCUUGUGACCGGCUCCGGAGGAAAUCCAGGAGAGUGAAUAAACUCAGCUGAGAAUGUCUGAAAACCUUGACAAGUCUAAUCUAAGCAAAGCAGGAAAAUCAAAAUCGGAUGAAGGCCUUGAAGAUGCUGUGGAAGGUUCUGAUGGAGCUUUACAGAAAAAAAUAAAGUCGGACACUCCCAGCCCCCAGAGAGUGCAUAGACCUCACUCUAGUCCUUCUCGACUGGUGACAGCGGAGGAACUGCUGGAGACAGCAAAAGGAGUCACUAACAUGGCUCUCGCCCACGAGAUCGUGGUGAAUGGGGACUUUCGGAUUAAACCGGUCGAGUUACCAGAAGACAGCUUGGAGAAGAGGAUAAAGGACAUAGUCCACAAAGCCUUCUGGGACUGUCUGGGCGCCCAGCUGGGGGAAGACCCCCCGGCCUACGACCACGCCAUCAAGCUGGUGGGAGAGAUCAGAGAGACUCUCCUGUCUUUCCUGCUGCCUGGCCACACCCGGCUGAGAAACCAGAUCACAGAAGUCUUGGACCUGGACCUGAUAAAACAGGAGGCGGAGCACGGGGCCCUGGACAUUUCGCGGCUGGCGGAGUUCAUCAUCGGCGUGAUGGGGACACUGUGCGCGCCUGCUCGUGACGAGGACGUGCAGAAGCUGAAGGACAUUACGGAGAUUGUCCCUCUGUUCAGGGCCAUCUUUGCCGUCCUGGACAUGAUGAAAGUGGACAUGGCCAACUUCGCGGUGAGCAGCAUCCGGCCACACCUCAUGCAGCAGUCGGUGGAGUACGAGAGGAGGAAGUUUCAGGAGCUCCUGGAGAAGCAGCCGAAUUCCCUGGACUUUGUCACCCAGUGGCUGCAAGAAGCCUCGGAUGACCUCAGGAACCAGAGGUGUAAACGUGCCCUGCUGGCCGGGGAGGAAGCUGCUGGCUCAGGGGCUGCGCCUGCACCCAGCCCAACCGCCAUCCAGAACCACGCUUACCUGAGGCUGCUGAAGUGGGACCACCUGCGGAGACCGUUCCCUGAGACAGUUCUGAUGGACCAGUCCCGCUUCCGGGAGCUCCAACUGCAGCUGGAGCAGCUGAGUGUCCUGGGGGCUGUCCUGCUGGUGGCCUUCAGCACGGCGGCCCCGGGGCUCUCCAGCCAGGCGGACUUUGCCGAGAAACUGAAGACCACUGUGAAGGCCCUGCUGGCGGAGAUGCACCUGCCCUCCUUCCACUUGCCGGCCGCCCUGACCGCCAUCGGGGAGAGAGUGUGCCUGGAGGUGGGCGGCUUCCUCUCGCGGUGUGGCUCAUCCCCCUUUUCCUCGGACAAGGAGGCUGCGCUCAAGGGCCAGAUCCAGGCCGUGGCCAGUCCUGACCACCCCAUUCGCAGGAUCAUGGAAUCCCGGAUCCUGACCUUCUUGGAGACCUUCCUGGCCGCGGGUCAGCAGAAGCCCCUGCCCACGGUGCCUGGCGGGCUGGGUCCCGUUCAGAGAGAGCUGGAGGAGGUGGCCGUCAAGUUCGCUCGCCUGGUCACCUAUAACAAGAUGGUCUUCUGUCCCUACUACGAUGCGAUCCUCGCCGAGCGCCUCCUCGGGCCCUAGGAGCGCGCGCCCGCUCCUGCCACCACCUCCCCUGUACCGUGCUUUGGACGAAGCCACGCGGUCCUUUUCUGCUGAGCAGCAGCAAGUCCCACGGGAAGAGGGCGUGUGUCACUGGAGACCUUCAGGCCGGGUGACAGUGCGCCGGGACUGUCAGGAGUGCGAGUGGCAGUGGAAGACACCCUGUGCCCCUGUGAUUUACAGGGCGCUCAGUGUGGACACACCUGCGGGGGGCAGCCAUGGCUUUCCAGGGAGGCUGGCCCUGUCCCACCCUGGGUGUGGCGGCCACCCCAGAGCAGGUGCUCUGCCCCAGCCGUCCGCGUAGAAGGGCUCUCUGCAAUCUCGCUCCUUUUCCUUUCCGUGUGUCGCUGCCUCCCAGCCUGCCCUCACCAGGGCUCCAGAGCCUUCUGAAGGAGAGUAAUUUGAUUUAAAAAGUUGUUCUUUUAAACAAAAUUACUCCUGAGCCUGGGCAGUUAUGACUCAUGGAAUCUAGAGAAAGGAGGGUCUUUGAUUUUUAAGCCUUGAAAGUUAAGGUUGAAAUUACAUGUGUGUGUGUGUAUAUGUGCAUGUGUAUGUGUAUGGAUGUAUGUCUAUGUGUGCAUAUGUGUGUACAUGUGUGUAUGUACAGAAAUGGGGCUGACGUGAAGUCGAUGGUGACUGGCCGCCAGGGUCAUGUGCGCAGGCUCUUCUCACCAAAGCGCCCAGUCUCUUCUGCAGUAUUUGUCAGGGCACUUUGGUGGCCACGAUUCCUGACAUGGUCUGCGACUGUGAGUAGUUUAGGUCUGAUGGACCACCUGUUCUGUUCAUAUGUAUUUACACACACGGUGCGUGUGUGUGCGUGUGUUGCACAGGCGCUAUGCCGAAGCAGAGCCGUGGGGCUCUGGCUCAGUGUCCACCAGCUGCGGGUGAGUGCGGCCCCAUCGGUGGCUGCGGGUCCUCAGUGCGCGCUGGGGCAUCCCGUUCCCCUAGGAUGACAGGGCUCUGAAGUCGGGUGACCCCGGAGGUCGGACGUCCGGACCGAAGCUGCAGAGGCGGCAGCCACGCUCUGCACUUCUGGGGGAGGCACCUGGCACGCUGGGUUGGCCAGGUCCGCGGUGCCGCCAGAGUGGCCGCGGGGACAGCUGGGGCUCGUGGAGGACUUAGGUCCUGUCGGAAGGAGGUGCGGGGGGAAGGUGGCCGAGGUCCCGCGGAGGUGGCGCCGGCGGGUGCCGAGGGGUUUCUCGGGGGCACGGUGCAAGGUGCCCGGCGCACACGGUGCGGUCCUGCGGUGCUCGCGGCCCGCCCAGGGAGGCGGCACUUGUUCCGCUCUGUGCCUUUGGGGUGGGGGUGGGCAGGCCGAGCGCGGGCCAGGCCGCGAGCUGGGGUGAUGGCCUUCUCAGGCCCUGGCGCAGGGCUGCCUGCUCCUCAGGCUCCUUUCCAGCCCGAGGGUGUGCAGCCUGAGUGUCCUUGCUCUUAGGUUGUCGAUCCUGGGCUGGCCUCUCGCUCGGCCUCAGGACGGCGGUGAAAUGGGCCGCUCCUGGCUCUCACAGCGGCCUGAGCGUUGAUCCCAUCCUGUGCGUUGGAACGCUGUGUCCGCGGAGGACUCAAGGCGGCGCUUCGGCCCUGCACCUGCAGGGGGCUGCUGUCCGUAAGGACGCAGCGGGCAGCGCCGCCUCCCUCCUCCGGUGGGGAAGGGUCUCCCCUGACACUGCUCCGCUUGUGUUCUCUUCCGGCCUAGAGCUGCAGUCUCACCUCUCCCCACCUCGCUGCCAUCAAGCCAGUGACUCUCCUCCUGCUGGUCUGUGUUAUUUGAACUCAGUACUCCUAUGAGCAGAUGAGCAGAUAAGUGAGGGGGAUGGGCGAUGGGUCUGAAACCCCUGAUUAAAGGCAUGGCCUCAUUUAAAACCAGUCUAAGUAACCUAGUGACAUUUGCAACGGCUAUUUUUAUUGGAUUUUGUAUUGUGUAAUUAUUUUACUACACAGCCUUUUCCUUUUUUAAACUUUUAUUUCUUUUUAUUUUACAUUCAUUAUUACAGCAUACAAAAUGAAUUUUCCCAUACGCU